rnacentral:rRNA from 1 species
UGGGGAAUAUUGGACAAUGGGCGAAAGCCUGAUCCAGCCAUGCCGCGUGUGUGAAGAAGGUCUUCGGAUUGUAAAGCACUUUAAGUUGGGAGGAAGGGCAGUAAAUUAAUACUUUGCUGUUUUGACGUUACCGACAGAAUAAGCACCGGCUAACUCUGUGCCAGCAGCCGCGGUAAUACAGAGGGUGCAAGCGUUAAUCGGAAUUACUGGGCGUAAAGCGCGCGUAGGUGGUUCGUUAAGUUGGAUGUGAAAUCCCCGGGCUCAACCUGGGAACUGCAUUCAAAACUGACGAGCUAGAGUAUGGUAGAGGGUGGUGGAAUUUCCUGUGUAGCGGUGAAAUGCGUAGAUAUAGGAAGGAACACCAGUGGCGAAGGCGACCACCUGGACUGAUACUGACACUGAGGUGCGAAAGCGUGGGGAGCAAAACAGGAUUAGAUACCCUGGUAGUCCACGCCGUAAAACGAUGUCAACUAGCCGUUGGGAGCCUUGAGCUCUUAGUGGCGCAGCUAACGCAUUAAGUUGACCGCCUGGGGAGUACGGCCGCAAGGUUAAAAAC